GAUGAACGCUGGCGGCGUGCCUAAUACAUGCAAGUCGAGCGAACGGACGAGAAGCUUGCUUCUCUGAUGUUAGCGGCGGACGGGUGAGUAACACGUGGAUAACCUACCUAUAAGACUGGGAUAACUUCGGGAAACCGGAGCUAAUACCGUAUAAUAUUUUGAACCGCAUGGUUCAAAAGUGAAAGACGGUCUUGCUGUCACUUAUAGAUGGAUCCGCGCUGCAUUAGCUAGUUGGUAAGGUAACGGCUUACCAAGGCAACGAUGCAUAGCCGACCUGAGAGGGGGAUCGGCCACACUGGAACUGAGACACGGUCCAGAGUCCUACGAGAGGCAGCAGUAGGGAAUCUUACGCAAUGGGCGAAAGCCUGACGGAGCAACGCCGCGUGAGUGAUGAAGGUCUUCGGAUCGUAAAACUCUGUUAUGAGGGAAGAACAUAUGUGUAAGUAACUGUGCACAUCGUGACGGUACCUAAUCAGAAAGCCACGGCUAACUACGUG
rnacentral:rRNA from 1 species